UUUAUAAAGUUAAUUUUAUUUUUAGUAUAAUUAAGAAAUAAUUAUUUUAAUUUUUAGUAUUGUAAAAGAAAUAAUUUAAUUAUUAAUAAGAAUAUUUUAUUUAUAGUAUCUUUUGUAUCAGAGUUUAUUAAAUAUUUUUUUAAAUAUUUAAAAUUUUCGAAUUUUUAAGAGUUAAUUUAAUUUUAUAUUAUAAUGUUAUAUAAUUAUAUUAAAAAUUAAAUUAGAAAUUAUAAGUUAAUCGUUUAAAAAUUUAUCUAAUUUAUUUAGAAAUUAAUUUAAUUAAUUUAUUAUUAAUUUAAUUUAUUUAAUUAAAUAUAAAUUAGUAAUAAAAAGAUUGAUCGGGAUAAUUUGAUUAAUUAAUUUAUAUAUUUAAUAAAUAAAAAAAAAAAUAUAGGAUUAAUAUUGUCUUUUAUUAAAUUUUGUUAUAAAAUAUUUUAUUUUUAUAAAGAUUUAUUAAUAUAUUAAAUAUUUUAUAAAUAUUUAUUAUUAAAUUAAAUAAUAAUAGUAAUAAUGAUAAAAUAAGUAAAUUUUUUAAUUUAUAUAUAAUUUAUUAUAAAAAUUUAAUUUAAAUGAAUUAAGCAAAAUAAUUUUUACCUGUUUAUUAAAAACAUGUCUAUUUGAAAAGAAUAAAUAGUCAUAUCUGCCCAUUGAUUGUUUUAAAAGGCUAUAGUAUUUUAACUGUACAAAGGUAGCAUAAUAAAUAGUUUUUUAAUUGAAAGCUAGAAUGAAUGAUUUGAUAAAAAUUAACUUUAUUUAAAUUAGAAUUUUAAAUUUUUAUUUAAGUGAAAAAACUUAAAUAUAUAAAAAAGACGAUCAGACCCUAUAAAACUUAAUUAUUUAUUAAAAUUUUAUUUUUAAUUAAUAAUUUAAUUGGGGAAAUUAAUAAAUUUGAAAAUUUUAUUUUUAAUGAAUUACUAUUAUAAGAAUUAUUGAUCUUUUAUAUAAAGGAUAAAAGAAAAAGUUGCUUUAGGGAUAACAGCAUAAUUUUUUUUUAUAGUUCUUAUAGAAAAAAAAGAUUGCGACCUC
rnacentral:rRNA from 1 species